rnacentral:rRNA from 1 species
AUACGGAGGGUGCGAGCGUUGUUCGGAAUUAUUGGGCGUAAAGAGCAUGUAGGCGGUCUGUUAAGUCUGGUGUGAAAGCCCGGGGCUCAACCCCGGAAGUGCAUUGGAUACUGGCAGACUUGAGUAUGGGAGAGGAAAGCGGAAUUCCGAGUGUAGGAGUGAAAUCCGUAGAUAUUCGGAGGAACACCAGUGGCGAAGGCGGUUUUCUGGACCAAUACUGACGCUGAGAUGCGAAAGCGUGGGGAGCGAACAGGAUUAGAAACCCCGGUAGUCC